CACGUACUUCCUCCGUCCGGAAUUACUUGUCAUCAAAAUGGAUGAAAAUAGAUGUAUUUAUAACUAAAAUACAUAUAAAUAAAUCCAUUUUAAUGACAAGUAUUUUCGGAUGGAAGAGUAACUA
rfam:Triticum aestivum genome assembly, contig: Triticum_aestivum_CS42_TGACv1_scaffold_641130_T_1BL-0.182532_3B-0.103603